UAGGACUACCAUACCUGAGUGCAUAUCUUGAUUCCAUGGAUUCAGAUUUCAAACAUGGAUCAAAUUUUGCUGUUAGUGGAUCCACCAUUCAACCCGCGGAUGGAAAAUUGUUUGGUGCAGGUUUUAACCCCUUAUCUCUCAGUAUACAGCUUUCACAGUUUCAACAGUUUAGAGACCGCACCAUUGAGUUAUACAAACAAGAUAGAAAACUGUGGAGAGAAAGCCGCCUUCCAGGGCCAGAGGACUUCUCCAAGGCACUUUAUACUUUGGAUUGUGGGCAGAAUGAUCUUCAUUUUGG
rnacentral:misc_RNA from 1 species